GUGGGGAAUAUUGCACAAUGGGGAAACCCUGAUGCAGCGACGCCGCGUGAGCGAUGAAGUAUUUCGGUAUGUAAAGCUCUAUCAGCAGGGAAGAAAUGACGGUACCUGACUAAGAAGCCCCGGCUAACUACGUGCC
rnacentral:rRNA from 1 species